CCUAUAUAGGAAGAGUUCAUUAUUGUAACAGCAAUCCAAAAAAAUAACACCUGAAAACACAAACUCAUAAAUAGGAACGUCAGAUCAAAGCAUAUACUUAGAAUUAAUUACAUACUGGAAGGUAGAAUAAGAAUCUCAAAUAAUGAUGUGAACCCUAUUUUCUAAGUGCCCUAUCUAUGGCUGGUCUUUGGAUUUAGGUAGCUAGAGUAACAAGUUUGGAUGUUAUUUUCCUUGAUUCCUUUUGAAGUGUUUGAACAAAUGCCAAUUUGGAACUGGCAACAAUACAAAUUAAGUCAUUUGCUUAUUUCUGCUUCUCAGAUCAGGAAAAGAAAGGCUCAAGAAUAUGGAAGAGGACAUAUUUCAUAUCUGCAUUAACAGUUACACUAUUGAGAUGAAGAGGUCAUUCAGCUAACUACUGAUUUUAAUGGAACCAUAACUCUGACUUUUGACAACCAGCACAAUCCACAGAUUAUACUUUUUUCCCCAGAAAUUCUAAAUUCAAAACACAAUAUGGUUUUAAAACUACAGUUCAAAACAGACACCCUAAGUCCUUUUUUAAAAGGGGAAAAUAUGUUUAACAGCAAUUUACAGUAAUAAUAUUUUUAGGAAAAGAAAAAAUCUUUGCCUAGAUGAUAUUAUACAAUUUUAUUUUUUAAUUUUCUUAGAUCUUAGCAAAUAUUCCCCAACAAAUUGCUGUUGUAGUCUACAAAAUGGUACCUCCAUACGAAGAAGUGCAGGCACAAGUGUAGUCUUCAAAACCACGGUACUUUAAAGAUAUAGUGAAUUCCCUAUUCAAGCUUGCACCUAGGUGUGGCUGCAUGCCCUCUCCACACACAUUCAGUUUGGGUUUCCUCAUAUUCACACUUUUCUAAGGGCUUUAACAGCAUCAGCACCUGUCAGCUUGUGACAUUUUUCCACCAAUCUUGGUAUUUACCAUGAGCCACUCCACCCAUUAACUACUGCACAGACACCUGUCAGCAAGACCACAACAGGUCUAUAGGUAGAAGGGGAACAAAAUAACCAAUGCACCAAGAUAAGAAAACUAUACGAAACUGGAAACCAGAAAAUUCAAGUUCCAUAAAAUAACUCAGGAAUACAAAACAUCCUUCUUAAAUUUGCAACAUGGGGUUUAGUACACACACAAAAUACAUUUUAAAUUCUAUCUUACAUAACAAAUGGGUUGCAGAAGACUACCUAUAAUUUUUAAAUUUCUGAUUAUGUAUUAUUUCAAGUGAAAUAACCUGCUUCCCAAAAUGUACAGCUGUAGUUCAAACCAAUAAGCUUAUACUUGAAGGGCUAUGGAUAAAAGGAAUUUUUUUCUAAAGUGGAACAGAGCUUUAGGGGCGCCUGGGUAGCUCAGUUGGUUAAGCGUCUGACUUUGGAGCAGGUCACGAUCUCGCAGUUCGUGGGUUCAAGCUUCACGUGCUUGUGCUGUGAAGCACAAGCUUCAAGCUGUUCAGCUUCUGUGCUGAUAGCUCAGAGCCUGGAGCCUGCUUCAGAUUCUGUGUCUCCCUCCCUCUCUCUCUGCCCCUCCCCUGCUUAUGCAUGCUCUCUCUCAAAAAUAAAUAAAUAAACCUUAAAACAACAACAACAACAACAACAACUCUAGGGUCCCCUUAGUGGCUCGGUCAGUUUAAGCGUCCAACCUUGGCUCAGGUCAUGGUCUUGUGGUUCAUGAGUUCAAGCCCCACAUCAGGCUCUCUGCUGUCAGCACGGAGCUUGCUUCAGAUACUCUGUCUCCCUCCCUCUCUGCCCCUCCUCUGUGCACAUGUGCUCACACCCCCCUCAAAAAUAAAUAUUAAGAAAAAAAACCCUCUAAACAAACCCCGCUUAAAAAUGCAAAUUAUCAUCACCUAAUUCUAUUUUGCACAAAUUUCCCCUAUAUGAUUCUAAUUACUAACACUGACUUUAUUAUUUUAAAAAAUGUCUUCAUCAGUAAAUGAUUUAAAAGAAAAACACAUAGAUAUCAAGAAUAAUGCAUGUUUUCUACUGACAUUCAAGCAAUGCAGGAUUUUAAGUGUGAGUAGUGAGUUCUCUAAAGGCAGCAUCAUUCAGGUAUUUACACUAUUAAACACAAAAUAUAAAGAUGGGUAUGCCAAAUAAGAGGACUGCAGAUGCUGAGGGAGCAUGGUGAAGCAUAAACAAGAUGCCCUGCUGCUUCUAAUAAGAAAGAAUUACUGACAGAUAGAAAAUAGAUGAAUUCCAGACAUAAUGUUGAGUGAAAGAGCCAAAAACAAAACAGGACAUGUGUAGGUUCCAUUUACCUUAAUUAAGAACAGGUAAAAAUAAUCUAUUGUGAAAGAAAUCGGAUUAGUGAUUACUGUUGGGUCAGGGAGAGUACUGACUGGAAGCAUACAAAAGAAAACCUGGGGUGCUGGAAAUGGUCUACAUCUCAAUUUGGAUAGAGGUAACAUAAGUGUAUGCACAUGUAAAAAUCCAUCGAGCUGUGCACUAAAGAUUUAUGCACUUUAUGUCAUAGAUCUGUUAUUCCUGUUUUGCUUUUUGGGGUCAUCUUUUCCUAGGACAAAGACGUCCUUGAAGAAAACUAUUCAAUCUUUUUCUAAUCCCCAAAGAGAGGAAAACCAUAAAGAUCUACUAAAAUUAAAAGUCACUUGGCUUUUCUUCAAAAUUAAGAAAAAACAAAAAACAAAAACAAACCACCACUGAAGAUUUCUGAAAGAGUAAGACACAACGAAAUGGAAACAAAAAAGUCCGACCACCAAACUCAAAGCAAGAAAACAAUGCCUAUGCCCAUCUGCAGAGAUGUUCAAUUGACUGAUCUCAGACAAAAGAACAGGUCUUCUAGGAACCAAUGGCAACUAGCUAAUCAGCAACAUCUGUAAUUGUUUCUGGAAUCCCAAAGUUUCCUAAUCUCUUAAUUACACUGUCUUAUUUAAAUAAUUAGAAGAAGAACUGGGUCAAAAAAUCCAAGAUUAGGAAUAAUGUACCUAAAAGAUAAAUGGCCUUAAUCCUAGUAGUUUUUAAACUUAAAGAAACUUGAAGACUGCUUCUCAUAGGAUAUUCUGCAGGAACAGAUUAAGAAAAAUAUUCCAGUCUUCUGAAGUCGUCAUAUCAGAUAGAAUCACACUAUAGGCGAAGAAAACUUAACCUCUAGGAAUGAUUCAGUGACUUCUUUGGACACAUUCUUUGUAUAAGAAUAUUUGAUACAAAUCAAAUGAUUUAAAUGCAAAUAUGAGAUUGUCCAAAUUUUCUGUCAUUAACAGAACUUAAUAUGAUGCCCUAUUGAUGGAGAACCAGAAAUGCAAGUAGCAAUUCUGAAGAAGGGCACACUGGGAAGAAAAGCAAAGGGAGCCUUCUCACCUGGUGUUUGUUUCUCACCAUGUUUCCCCAGCUGGUCUUCUGGGCUUCUUGCAUUCCCUCCUGAGGGAAAGCAUCCAUUAGAUUUGUAGACUCUCUUCAGAUAUUGGUGAUACCUAUUAAGCACCUUUCAGACAACCCCAAAUGCUAACAAAUCCAAGUAUUCCACCUUUUGCCUAAAAUAAUCCAGAAGGGUCAUUCAUAAAUAGCAAGUUGUUUCCCUUUCCGUUCAGGUGAUGAUAGAAUAUCAACACCUAGAUGCUGUGCCUUCAAAUAGCUCUGAACAUCAACUAUGAAGGUGCCUAAAUGAGGAAUGGUUAGGAUAAUCAUCUUGAACUGCCUACUUUAUUGUUCCUCCUACUCAAGCCGAUGUCUCCAGCUCCUAAGUAUCAGCUACCUCUCUACCAUCACUCCUGAGGCUCUUGCCCCCUCUGAUGAACCUCAACAUGCCCACUUCUCAGAUGAUAGCUUGUUACAGUGAAGUCUGCUCUAAUAAUUUAAGAAGAUAGUAUUUAAUCCGCUACCCCAAAGACCAUCAUUUCAUCUCUGUCACUAGCUCACCUUAUCAGAAACUCCAUUUCUGUCAACAAUUUUCAUUUGGAAGUCUGCCUGCUAACAACUCCACAGGAAGAGUAAGUAUGUUUUAAAUCCUUCUGAUUUUAUAGGCUGUUUUGCACAUACUUGCUGAUACUGACCAAAAACAGCAACACUCAAUAAUGAACAAUUACAUUGUUCAAAAUAAGAUACCAAGAUGUCAGAGCCAAGUAAGAUGAACCACCUAGUGACCCAAGAAUGGAAUCUAGAAAAGAUGAAACCCAUCAGGAAACUGGUCCCUAAGUAAAACCAAGCAAACCUAAGUCUCAGUAUACUUGUUCUUACCUGUAAUUGGAAUCAGUUUCCAAUGUAUUUCAGUCUCUUCAACAUCAUUUGACUUAGAUUGUCUGCGGAAUCCAUGUUCAAUGGGAACAGUGGGACACAAACUGCAAUCUUCAAAAUUAUUCAUGCUAAUUAAAUUUGGAUCCUAAAAAUUAGAGUACACAUUCAAUAGCUUUCUUUUCAAUUAAUCUUUAUGUCAAGAAUAAACAACUAUUUUCUUU